rfam:Brachypodium distachyon strain Bd21 chromosome 5, whole genome shotgun sequence.
UCAGUAUUUCCUCCGUCCAACAAAAGAUGUCUCAAGUUUGUCAAAAUUUGGAUGUAUCUAGACAUGACUUAGUGUAUAAAUGCAUUCAAAUUUAGUCAAAGUUGAGACAUCUUUUGUUGAAAUGGUACUAAUAAAUC